GACGAACGCUGGCGGCGUGCUUAACACAUGCAAGUCGAACGGUAAGGCCCUUCGGGGUACACGAGUGGCGAACGGGUGAGUAACACGUGGGUGAUCUGCCCUGCACUUCGGGAUAAGCCUGGGAAACUGGGUCUAAUACCGGAUAGGACCACUGCCUGCAUGGGUGGUGGUGGAAAGCUUUUGCGGUGUGGGAUGGGCCCGCGGCCUAUCAGCUUGUUGGUGGGGUGAUGGCCUACCAAGGCGACGACGGGUAGCCGGCCUGAGAGGGUAACCGGCCACACUGGGACUGAGAUACGGCCCAGACUCCUACGGGAGGCAGCAGUGGGGAAUAUUGCACAAUGGGCGCAAGCCUGAUGCAGCGACGCCGCGUGGGGGAUGACGGCCUUCGGGUUGUAAACCUCUUUCAGCACCGACGAAGCGCAAGUGACGGUAGGUGCAGAAGAAGGACCGGCCAACUACGUGCCAGCCGCCGCAGUAA
rnacentral:rRNA from 1 species